rnacentral:tRNA from 1 species
GGGGAUAUAGCUCAGUUGGCAAAGUGUUUGCUUUCCAAGCACAAGGCCCUGGGUUCAAUCCCCAGCACCA